rnacentral:tRNA from 1 species
GGAGCGGUAACUCAGUGGUAGAGUGCGGGAUUGCAGUACGAUACAGCGAGUAUCCUGAAGUCAGGUGUUCGAUCCACCUUCGCUCCU